GUCCGGAACGAAACGGAUGACGUGAAUAUCGUCGUCUACUGACGGUACCGGAAGAAUAAGCACCGGCUAACUACGUGCCAGCAGCCGCGGUAAUACGUAGGGUGCGAGCGUUAAUCGGAAUUACUGGGCGUAAAGCGUGCGCAGGCGGUUUUGUAAGCCAGAUGUGAAAUCCCCGGGCUUAACCUGGGAAUGGCAUUUGGGACUGCAAGGCUGGAGUUUGGCAGAGGAGACUGGAAUUCCCGGUGUAGCAGUGAAAUGCGUAGAUAUCGGGAGGAAUACCGAUGGCGAAGGCAGGUCUCUGGGCUAUAACUGACGCUCAUGCACGAAAGCGUGGGGAGCAAACAGGAUUAGAUACCCUGGUAGUCCACGCCCUAAACGAUGUCGACUGGUUGUUGGGGGUUUGACACUCUCAGUAACGAAGCUAACGCGUGAAGUCGACCGCCUGGGGAGUACGGCCGCAAGGUUA
rnacentral:rRNA from 1 species